ensembl:lncRNA
CCUGCUAACUGCAGUCACCAGUUUGGUGUUCAAGAGUAGGAAGGCGAAAUAAAAUUUCAAGUCUAUUCAAAGGUUCUCCCUUCCAGGCUCCACUGAAAAGUUGGAGACCUGUAUCAGGAGUACUGUUAGUUUUUAUUCUAUGUGGAAACCCUUGUGAAGGAAGACAUGGGGGAAAUACAUCGAACCUUGCUCUGUCAAGGCCCUGUGGAACUCACAAGUGGCAGGAAAAGGAAUAAAAGAUAUCUCUCCUUAUUUGAUGAUGUUUUGGUUGUGUCUACUAACCUGUGAGUAUAUACAACAAGCGUUCCUUACUAUGAGAGACUACACUUUAAUCAGCCUUUUUUGUACAAAAGUAAAAUAUUAUUUUUAAAAUUUUGUUUGAAAUAAAACAUUAUACUUACUUCAUUACUUCAUUAUCACAACUUCUUUUUCCUCUACUAUGGUUGAAAUUUGGUGGACACUUGGCUACUCAUUUCACAAAUUGUUUGGCAAAAAGUUUUAGGCAUUUUUAAAAAAUGAAUUAUUUAUCCUGCUCUUUGAAUCACAGUAAGAAGAGAUGUACAAGCACAUGGUAGUAAUUCUAGCAUUGUUAACACUGACUUAGGAGUAUUGAAGCUUUUUGGGAUAUGUGGACUAUACAGGGAGACAUGUUCCCAAAAAAAAAUAUUCAAAAUACAAGAAGCAGGUGUCCUCUUGCUUGUUGUUUCCAGAUUUACAUAGAAGCAAGAAGAGAAAGUCCCAGAUUAUGAGUGUUGCACACAAGGGGCAACACAUGUAAGCCUCUUGACCUCAUAGAUUCCAAAUAAGUAUGAAGAGGCAAAAAGCAGCUCCUAUCCCUACUGACAGCAGCUAUUAAUGAGGGGAAACGGCAGGCACCGAGUAGUUCCUGGUUGGUGAUUCUUCACAUGCUAGCGAAAACUGCUGUGAUUAAAUGAGACCGUAUACAUGAUUGCAUUGUAACUUAUAAUCAUGGUGGUGUUUUCUGGAACCACAUCACAUAUAAUCUUCACUGGCCAUGAUUAUAGCCUUCAUAUUAUUCUAGAAUCUAUGAAGCUGGUAUUGACGUUAUCAAGUAAAAAAUUUAAUUUUUGUUCGCCUUAGUUCCUAUAUGGUUUGGAACACAGACAUCAAUAGUAUAGUUUAUUCAGUUUAGGGUAUAAAAUUUUUGGUCAUCCUUAAACAAUAUUCCUGAAGAUCUACUUCAAAAUGUGAGAAAAUAAAUUGUUCAGAAGAGAAUUACUCUGAAUGAUUCAACCAAUUGGGUAAAUUUGGCUUUCAACCCUCAUUAGUAAUUGUAAGUUCCUUGCAUAGAAAAUGGUA